rnacentral:rRNA from 1 species
AGGAUGAACGCUGGCGGUAUGGCCUAACACAUGCAAGUCGUACGAGGGUUUUUAACUCUAGUGGCGACGGGUGAGUAACACGUGAGAAUUUGCCUUUAGGAGGGGGAUAACAAUCGGAAACGAAUGCUAAUACCCCAUAUGCUUUUGAGUGAAAUGGAUUUAUCCGCCUAAAGAGAAGCUCGCGGCUGAUUAGCUUGUUGGUAAGGUAAGAGCUUACCAAGGCGACGAUCAGUAUCNGGUUUGAGAGGACGAUCAGACACACUGGAACUGAGACACGGUCCAGACUCCUACGGGAGGCAGCAGUGGGGAAUUUUCCGCAAUGGGCGAAAGCCUGACGGAGCAAUACCGCGUGAGGGAAGACUGCCUAUGGGUUGUAAACCUCUUUUUUCAGGGAGGAAUAAAAUGACGUGUACCUGAAGAAUAAGCAUCGGCUAACUCCGUG